GGAGGGUGCAAACGUUGUUCGGAAUUAUUGGGCGUAAAGAGCGUGUAGGCGGUUCGUCAAGUCUGAUGUGAAAGCCCGGGGCUCAACCCCGGAAGUGCAUUGGAAACUGGCGAACUUGAGUACGGGAGAGGAAAGUGGAAUUUCGAGUGUAGGGGUGAAAUCCGUAGAUAUUCGAAGGAACACCAGUGGCGAAGGCGGCUUUCUGGACCGAUACUGACGCUGAGACGCGAAAGCGUGGGGAGCAAACAGGAUUAGAUACCCUGGGUAGUCCACGCCGUAAACGAUGGGUACUAGGUGUUGCGGGUAUUGACCCCCUGCAGUGCCAAAGCUAACGCAUUAAGUACCCCGCCUGGGGAGUACGGCCGCAAGGCUAA
rnacentral:rRNA from 1 species